rnacentral:lncRNA from 1 species
UACAAUAAUCAUUUUUGUCUUAGAUUUGUCUUGAUCUCUUCCUGCCGUUGCACAUCACUGGCAAAGGUGAGGAAGAGACGGAGCUUGAACUGGAGGAAAAGGUGCAGAAGCGAGGUCCUCUCUGGAUGUGGACAAGGGUCUGAUGGAAAAAAAAGUUUUGAGGGAGUUGACCGUUUGUGCAAGGUGACUGGCUGACUAAAGAAGACCAAAGUUUUUUUUAUCUGCAGAACAAAUACAGCCUGGUCAAAGGUAACUGAAGUGAACGUCUCCCACCUUGUCCUUUUUGCAUGUCUAAGGGGGAUGUUUGUGCUCUUGG